rnacentral:rRNA from 1 species
UAUUGGGCAAUGGGCGAAAGCCUGACCCAGCAAUGCCGCGUGAAUGAAGAAGGUCUUAGGAUUGUAAAAUUCUGUCCUAUGGGAAGAAAAAAAUGACGGUACCAUAGGAGGAAGCCCCGGCUAACUACGUGCCAGCAGCCGCGGUAAUACGUAGGGGGCGAGUGUUGUCCGGAAUUACUGGGCGUAAAGAGAGCGUAGGCGGCACUACAAGUCUCAUGUGAAAUACCCGGGCUUAACUUGGGGGUUGCAUGGGAAACUGUAGAGCUUGAGUACAGGAGAGGCAAGCGGAAUUCCUAGUGUAGCGGUGAAAUGCAUAGAUAUUAGGAGGAACACCAGUGGCGAAGGCGGCUUGCUGGACUGAAACUGACGCUGAGGCUCGAAAGCGUGGGGAGCAAACAGGA